UCCGGCUUAUCACCGGCAGUUUCUUUAGAGUGCUCAACAAAAUGGUAGCAACUAAAGACGAGGGUUGCGCUCGUUGCGGGACUUAACCCAACACCUCACGGCACGAGCUGACGACAGCCAUGCAGCACCUGUGCGGGCUCCCGUAGGAGGACCGUGUUUCCACGGCUUCACCCCGCAUGUCAAGCCCUGGUAAGGUUCUUCGCGUUGCGUCGAAUUAAGCAACAUGCUCCGCCGCUUGUGCAGGCCCCCGUCAAUUUCUUUGAGUUUUAACCUUGCGGCCGUACUCCCCAGGCGGAUGACUUAACGCGUUAGCUGCGCCACCCAAGCACUAAGUGCCCGGACAGCUAGUCAUCAUCGUUUACGGCGUGGACUAC
rnacentral:misc_RNA from 1 species